AUUUAAAUCUAUAUUAUAUAUUUUAUUGUCAAUCUACAUAGAUUUUUCUACUUUGAAAUAUUUUCUACGUUCUUAAUUACAGAAGCCAAUGACCAACCAGAACACCCAAAAAAUAUAUAUUUAUUUAUGUUGUUUUCCUUUUUUUUCUAAAAAGCAAUACAAAAAAAUAAUAGUUAUAUUUCAAUUAAACAUUACGAUUGAUUGUAUAUAUUUUUUUGUAUUUCAAUUUGUUUAAGUUUCAUUUUCUUAUUUUCACAAUAAUAAUAUUUUCUUCUUCUUUUAAUUUAAAAAGUUAAUCUAUUAAUUGCUUUUGUGGCUUUAAUAGAAAUUUAUUAAAUAUCCCAUAAUACUAUGUAGUAUACUAGUAUUAUCUACAUAGUACUCCAAAUUACUGAAUAAUUUCUUCUUUUUUUUGGUCAUCAAUAGGAUACUUAUUACAAAUAUCAGAACAAUAAUUAGAAAUCAACUGUCACCAAACCCAACAAUCAUCACAAAAAAUAAUUUACAUAAUCAAUAUUUGCCAUAAGUGAGGAUUGACACAUUAACUAACAAAAUAAGAUUAUGUAGAAGUAGGUGUCAUUUGGCAUGUGGUUUUUUUAGUUAAUUUUUUGAUUUUUUGACUAUUUUAGCUUUGGUUAAAAAGUUCGUUUAGAUUAUUUUUUCAGUUUUUUUAACUUUUGUGAAAAAAAAAUAAAAUAAUUAUUAUUUGGAUAUGCCAAACGAAACCUAAGUUAACCCAAUUGAUUAGGAUUACUCAAUAAUUACACAGUUCUAAUUUUGACCAAACAAUUGGGUGCCAAAUCACUUUUUUAUGUUAUGACAAUAUACGAAAAUGACACCUUUAUUUUUAUAAAAAUCAAUUAUUGUCUCUUAUUGAAGAGUAAAAAUAUUUUAAAUUGCUGCAAAAGGGUAGCUUCGCCCUCACCAGCUCUCUACCCCGUUGAGAUCUGGUUUGUAUUAUUCCUGAAAGAGAGCACAGCCAUGCUAGGUUUGGUUGGAAGAUUUGGUAAGAGAUUUAAGCCUAUUUUGAGAAGUUGGUUAAAAAUCACUUCGCAGCUUUUAACUUACUUCCCUCUCUUACCAAAAAAUCAAAAAAAGUCAAAACAUAACUUUUAACCAUUUUUCGAAAACACCUUUAGAAAGAAAAAGUAAAAAGAUAAAUGAAAUAUUAACAAAAUAUACUUAUAUUUUAUCUAAUUUCACACACUUUUUUUCUUUCUCUUUUCAAAUCUCUUAUCUUAUCUCCCAAUCAAACACAAAGUCAACAUUGAUUGCCUACCUCUUGUCCAACAAUUGUGAGUGAUCAUCAUUUAUAACAAUAAUUUCACUCAUGUCAUCACAGCAAUGAUGCAAGGUUAAUGGUCCACUUGUUUAAAUAGAAAAUAUAUUUUAACCUAAAAUUUAAACCCCACCACCCAUCGUCACCACACCAGACCAGCCCCUCCCCCCUCAAACACUUCGCUACACCCUCACUAUAAUACAACUAUUAGUAUAUUAGUCUUGAAGUCAUAACCAAAUAAAAUUAUUUCCAAAAGGGAUAAGUUUUUGUUUUUUGAGAAGUUGGGCUUUAUGAGGUUUAUCAUGAGUUUCAUUUUAUAAUUUGAACUAUUCAUUUUAUUUGAUUAUGCAUAUAAAUUAUUUAUGAAAAAAAGUUAGAUUGUUUUGAUAAUCACUUCAUAUUUUAUUAUAUUUUUCUGUUAAGAAAAUGAUGUAUAUGUUUAAAAUUAUCUUUUAUGCCCAUUUUUCACACACACACACACAAAAAAACAUAUUAAUAAAAUAUAUAAUUAUAAUUAUCAAAGCAAUCUAAUUUUUUUAAUCAACAAUCUACCUGCCUGUAACAAAAUAAAUUGUUCUAAAUUAUUAUAUUAGAGUUGUACAAGGCCUAAUAACACCUCCACUAGAAUAUUAAUUUUUUUGAAAACAAAAAAAAAAAAAAAAAAAAAAAAAAAAAAAAAAAAAAAAAAA